rnacentral:rRNA from 1 species
UGGGGAAUCUUGCGCAAUGAGCGAAAGCCUGACGCAGCGACGCCGCGUGAGUGAUGAAGGCCCUCGGGUUGUAAAGCUCUGUGGAGAGGGACGAAUAAGUCGUGGCCAACAUCCACGAUGAUGACGGUACCUUUUUAGCAAGCACCGGCUAACUCUGUGCCAGCAGCCGCGGUAAGACAGAGGGUGCAAACGUUGUUCGGAAUUAAUGGGCGUAAAGCGCGUGUAGGCAGCCUCGCAAGUCGGAUGUGAAAGCCCUGGGCUUAACCUAGGAAGUGCAUACGAAACUGCAAGGCUGGAGUCCUGGAGAGGAAGGCGGAAUUCUCGGUGUAGAGGUGAAAUUCGUAGAUAUCGAGAGGAACACCGGUGGCGAAGGCGGCCUUCUGGACAGUGACUGACGCUGAGACGCGAAAGCGUGGGGAGCAAACAG